AAAUCACUGCCACCGGGUAGGAAAUGCAUUUGCAUUCGUCUGCACAUCGUUAGGUCUUGGAAGAUGUGUUCACGGGUGCUUUUAUUUU
rnacentral:ncRNA from 1 species